rnacentral:rRNA from 1 species
UACGUAGGCAGCGAGCGUUGUUCGGAAUUACUGGGCGUAAAGAGUGUGUAGGCGGUGUUCCAAGUCUGGUGUGAAAUCUCCCGGCUCAACUGGGAGGGUGCGCCGGAAACUGGAAUGCUAGAGGGUGGGAGAGGUAAGCGGAAUUCCUGGUGUAGCGGUGAAAUGCGUAGAUAUCAGGAGGAACACCGGUGGUGUAGACGGCUUUCUGGACCGUAACUGACGCUGAGACACGAAAGCGUGGGUAGCAAACAGG